UACAGAGGUCUCAAGCGUUGUUCGGAUUCAUUGGGCGUAAAGGGUGCGUAGGUGGCGCCGUAAGUCGGGGUGUGAAAUUUCGGAGCUUAACUCCGAAACUGCAUUCGAUACUGCGGUGCUUGAGGACUGGAGAGGAGACUGGAAUUCAUGGUGUAGCAGUGAAAUGCGUAGAGAUCAUGAGGAAGACCAGUGGCGAAGGCGGCUCACUGGCCCGAUACUGACGCUGAGGCACGAAAGCGUGGGGAGCAAACAGG
rnacentral:rRNA from 1 species